rnacentral:rRNA from 1 species
GUUUGAUCCUGGGNUCAGAACGAACGCUGGCGGGCAGGGCCUAACACAUGCAAAGUCGAGCGCUUCUUUUUUCGGAAAGGGAGCGGCGGACGGGGUUAGUAACGCGUGGGAAUAUACCCAGUUCUAAGGAAUAGCCUCUGGAAACGGAGAGUAAUACCUUAUACGCCCUUCGGGGGAAAGAUUUAUCGGAAUUGGAUUAGCCCGCGUUAGAUUAGAUAGUUGGUGGGGUAACGGCCUACCAAGUCUACGAUCUAUAGCUGGUUUGAGAGNAUGAUCAGCAACACUGGGACUGAGACACGGCCCAGACUCCUACGGNAGGCAGCAGGGGNNUCUUAGACNUGGGCGNNGCCUGAUCUAGCCNUGCCGCGUGAGGAUGAAGGCCCUAGAUCGUAAAACUCUNUCGCCAGGGAUGAUAAUGACAGUACCUGAAAAGAAACCCCGGCUAACUCCGUGCCAGCAGCCGCGGUAAUAAGG